UGUGUGUGUGUGUUGUGUGUGUGUGUGUGUGUGUGUGUGUGUGUGUGUGUGUGUGUACUUUCAACAGCAUGCUGCUCUGUGAUUUGUUAAUUGAAGGAUCUGUCACAAUGUGUGGUUGUGUCUGAGAUGGUGGGGGAAUCAAACCAGACACUAAUUAAAUGUUGGUUUUUCUUUAGGGCUGUAUAGAAUAAUAAAUUACAAAGAAAAACACAAGUGUAAGAGAAAACAUUGGAAAUUAGCUGAGGUUAAGGAGGUCAUAUGUACAAAAACACGACGAGAACAAUAUUCAUAGGUCCCGCAUGCUUAGAGCGGUUGUGCACUUUCAAAAACUCUUUUUUGGGCUAAAGCCACUGCAAUACUGUCCCCCCAAAAUGGACACAGUGUGUAUUUUCACACUUGUUCAGAAAUGUCUCUACGUUGUCGCUGCUCAGACAUGAAUAUAUGGAUUUAAAGGAUGACUCCUCCAUCAAGUGAAUACAAGGUCUGUUCAGGGGGAGAAUCAGCUGCUGAGUCAAAGCAACAAUAUCACUUGGGAUGAAAUACUUUGCAUUACAUAAACACUGCAUUUAAAUGAUUUAAAGCACACAUUUCUCCCAAGUAAUGCUACAAUGUCAUGUGACAUGAUUAGUGAAUGAUGUGCUCUGACUGUAUUUCUAAACACCAGAGCAGUGAGGAAGAAGAAAGACAACAGUGAAUGUGUGGGAUUCAAUUUGUUUUAUAUUUAUUCUAUAUUUAUAAAGAAUGUUACUUUCUUUGUA